AAACAAAGGGUUUAUGGCAUUGAAAUAAAUUUAUUAAAACACAUAAAAAUUAAUGUUAACUGAUUCGUAAUCAGUAGGUCGCAAGUUCAAAUCUUGUCGGGAGCACCA
rnacentral:tRNA from 1 species